rnacentral:lncRNA from 1 species
GUUUUCUAUAAUAAAUAUGGAUUAUUUGGCUAAGGUUUAUAACUAAUUAAUUGUUGUAAUAAUUAUUAUAAUUAUUACUUAAUAAGUAAUUAUAAAAGAAAUCAUAUCUCCUACGGUACUGCAGAAAUUGGAAUAGCGCUUAUGGAAAGUAAAAAAACCCCAAGCUGCAAGGAAAAAUUGUUUAUUAGUGCAUGCUAUCCUAUCUUAAUAACUGAUCCAGCAAAACAAUAUUAUAGAAACUCGUUAAAGGACAGAAUACUAUAGCAUUAAUAGGUAUAGAGUUUAUAGAAUGCAUCUAACUAUUUAUAUUCUAUUUGUUCUUAAGGGAAAUUAAAGAAAUAUUAUUGUAGAUAGAAAAGUAUAUUGUUAAUAUUCUCCAUAACUGAAUGGCCAAGCUAUGACAAAGGGGUAAUGAAUAUGAUGUGGUGUGGUGGCUUUCCAUGUAAGAAUUAACCUUUUUAAAGCAGUUUUACUCUCAUUUAUUUAGUCUUCACCAUACAGACAGCUGACAGUGAGGAAUUCACACUGAUGUGGGAGGUGUCACUGAGGAGAUGAAAUUUGAGUUGCUCCUUAAAGAAUGAGUAAGAUUUGCUAGGUGAAGAUUGGUGAAAUGGCUUUGCAGACAGACAGAAUAGCGACAGCGAAACAACAGGCGAAGUGUGAGAUGUGUCAUGGGAACACUAGUUACUCAGAUGUGUGAGUAUGUGUGUGUGUGGGUAGGUUUGUGUCAUGGGGUCCAUAUGAGGGGGUGUGGAAGGAGCUAAGUCAGUGCAAACUUUUAGCUCUGCAAGUUACAAAAUGUAAGAGGCUAAAAAAUGACCUGAAAUCUGAAAAUCACAAUUCCUAAAGUAAAGGUAGAUCGUUUCUGUCAUUUAAAAUGUGUGGCAGGAAGAAAAGCAGCAUUUAUUGAGCUCCUGUUAUAUGACUUUAUAUCUAUUGUUGCAUUUAACCCUUAGAUCAGCUCUUUAAGAGGCUGAUUACUCUCAAUUUACAUGUGAGGAAAUGCAAGCUACAGAAAUUACCCUAGAAAGAUGAAGCCCAGCAGCAGGAUUCAAUCCAGGUUCAUCCAACUCCUCAGAUGGUAUUCUUUCCAUCACACCAUGCGGUCUCUCUGAAAUACCUAAGUCAUUCUCGUAUUACAACAAACAGUGGGACACCUCCCCACACAGACCACUCUCACCACCACCACCAAAUAGCUCAGCAUAUUUGGAGACAAAAACAAAGGAAGAGAAAUGAAAUAUGCAUGUGAAAACUUUAUAGAUUAUUCUGCCCUAUUCAGCAGCCAUUAUGGGAUUGUUACUUGAUAUGAAUGUAGAGAUUUGCUACUUCGAAAGCCUUAAAGUUUCCCUAUUGUGGCCCACAGCUCUCUGGAUAUGGCAGUAUUUCUUGAACUAGCAAAAAAAGCUUAUUUUCUUCAGUAUGUGAAUCCACAUAAAGGUAUUUAUCCUAAACAGCUACUUCCUCCUUUACCAUGGACUGAUUUGGGAUUCAGCUUUGUUGCGAUGCCACAGGUGUUUUAGAUUUUGAUGGCCGCUUCCAAGUGUGGGUCUGAUGAGCUCUCCGCAUGCGCUGCCUGCCUGGGUGAGCGCUGGCCAGGCUGAGUAGGCUCAUUCAUCCAGGAGAUGGCCCUGCAGCUGAAAAGAGGUGAGGCACACUGCCUUGUCGCUUGAGUUUGCUUGUUUUCCUUCUAUGCUCUCUGCCAUGAGCCUUGAUAAGAAAGAUGAAUGCCAGCAUCUGCCAAGAUAUUAAGAUACAGAUCCUGCUUCUUCAGUUGACUAGAUUAACAUAUUAAACAGCCUAUUCUCUUAAGAUGUUUCCAGCUAAAAUUAGUUUUUCCUUUCUCAUCGUGCUAGUUGUGAUUUCAUGGGGUUAUUUUUUCUCCAGGCAGUGCUUCCUUAAGUCUUUCUCUGCUCCAGUCAUCUUCCACACUGCUGACAGACUGCUCUGUUGUAAAGGAAAAUCUCAUUGUGUUAUCCCCUUACUUAAAAUUGGUGCAGAGUAAACUCAUCCUUCAAUACUCAGGCUGUGCUUUGUCCCCCAGGAGGAGAUGACUACUUUCUGGUCCAGCUGAGCCCUGCAUGUACCUCUCACAUGGUAUCUACCCACGGUAUUUGCAGUUCUGUGUUCCUUGUCUGGUUCUCUUUCUGGUUGAUGCUUGAGUUCAGGGACUCUGUCUUUUUCACUAUUUUAUCAUAAGAAUUUCAUAUAUAGUGAUCCCAUCAUAUGUGCAAAUAAAACAUUAGCUGAAAAUAUUAAAUGAAUUAAUUAAAAGUAAAUGAAUGAUUAAGAGUUGUGAAACCUCAGUUGAAUGUAAGGGUGGAGAAGUCGGAAAGGCAGCAUAUCUAACUGCCAUCUUUAGCAUCUGAUAAAGGUUAAUGAAAAUGGCUGAGGUUUCCUUAAAAUGACAUGUAGCUAGUAGCUUUUAAAACAGUCUUUGUUUAUAGAAAAUUCUUGGUGUUUAUUUGAAUUUUUGGUGUUUAUUUGAAUUCAUGGACUAUCUCAGGAGUUGUCAGCCUACAAGUGUGUAAAGAUUGCUUUAUGGUGAUAAAAUGAGUACAGGAUGAGACCUAAGAAAAUGCAGAAUUAAUGGAGAAAAUGGUGUGUUUUUAGUUCCUCUUUACUCUAGAGCUUUGUGGAAAGAUCAUCCCAUUAUAUGGAUAAUACUUAGGAUUUUAAGAAAAAUCCUUCUUUCCAAAAAAAUGUGAAAACAUCACUUUUCUAGCCUUGCAUCCUUUUCCCAAGAAAUUCUGGCUCAUUUAUUCCUUUCCUUUGAGAUGCAGAUCCAUCUGUCCCGCUUGCCCACUUGACUUCUCUUCUGUGUUUCAAUCUAAUAACAAAAACUAGCGAUUUAACUCCCCAAAUGAUCCUCUUCCAGUUUCUUUAUCUUAGAAGGAAGCUGCUCCACUCAGCAAUUAACCCAAAACCUUAUGAAUUAACCUUGGUUCUUCUUACUUUCUUACCUCCACAUCUAAUCCAGAACCUCCUAAAUACCUACGAAACAUGUCUUAAAUAUUUCCUCCUUCUACUACCACCACCAUCUUAGUACCAGCUGCCAUGACCUAUUGCCUAGGAGAGAGCACUAAAAAACAGGGCCUUCUUCCUGAUUGAUGGCUUCAUCUUUGGACCCUCUCCAAUUCCUUGUGUAUGCUCCAGCAGAGCUAUCUUUCUGAAGUGCAAACUGGAUUAUGCCAUCUUCCUUCUUAAAACCCUGUAGUGGUUUUAAUUAUUUUAAGGUUUAAAAAUAAAUUAUUAAACCAGGUUACAAGGCCUUGAGUGGUCUGGCCUAUCUCCCUCUCCAACAGUUCCCUCAUCCCACUCUCUCUUCGGCAGCAUCAUUGGCUUUCUUUCAGUUUCUCACGUUUGCCAAGGUCUCUCCCUCCCACUUUGGACCUUUGCACUUGCUCUUCUCCUGUGUGGAAAACUCUUCUGUCUCCUAGUUAUCCAAUAAACUUUCAUUCUUUCUUCAAAUUUCAGCUUAGCCUCCCAUGACCAUGAUUUUUUACCCACUCUUGUAGCACCAUGCAACUCUUUUUUGAGGUACUAACCUUAAUUGUAAUAUUAGAUUUGUUUAAUUAGUAAAUAGUCUCCUUUCCUGGGCUCUAAGCUCUUUGAGGACAGGGACCACAUCUGGUUUUGUUCCCUAAUGCUUCUCCAGAGCUUAGCCCAAUACUCAGCAGGUACUGUGUUGUUAACAUUUAUUGAAUGAUAAUAGGCAUAUUAGCAUGUAUUGACAUUAUGGAUAAUCAUUUUUUGAGUAAUGAUAAAUAUUCAAAGAAAGACAAGCAGUAUUUAACAUAAGUGCACUAGAUAUAUCUAUCUUAACUACUGUUAUUGAUCAUAUGUGAGGGUGUCAAUGUGCUUCUUGCAUUCUUAAAAACCACUUUGCAGACUACAUAUUUGAAUUAUUAGGCUUGUGUCAAGACAUAUAAGGCUUAAAAUGUGUUUUUGUCUAUCUCAAAUCACUCUACAUUUUCAGUUUCUCAGAACUGAAAGCUGUUUCUCAGAAUUAUCACUCACUGGGCACAAUGGUUUCAGUAAAGGGAGCCGGUGUGGCAUGAGCUGGAGAUUUAGAACCAAACGUAUUUGGCUUUGAAUUCUAGCUCCGCUAUGCAUUACACGUGUAAUGUUGGGCAAAUGAGUUCAUCUCUCUGAGCGUUAGCUUUAUCAUCUGUAAAUUGGGUUUUGUAAUACCUACCUCCUGGGAUUAUUUUAUGGCUUAGGAAUUUAACGUAUAUGAUUACAGUUCUUCCUAUUUAAAGGUGCUUCAUCGUUCUUGCUUCCUGUACCUUCCUCCCAGGUAGUCUGCAUAGUUUGAAAGACACACCAAUUAGAUUCCUAUCCCUUCCGCAUGUUCCAUCUAAAUGGAGAAUAUGCUUUAAAAAUUGAACUUUAACUGAGAGGGAGCUAGAGAAAAAGGAUGGAAGGAGGAAAAAUAUGCCACUCAGUUGCCAUGGUACACCCAGGUUAAAGAAACCCGGGUUUAUAAAUGAGCAGAACGAAGAAAGUAAGUGUCGUUAGCUUUUGAUGUAGUGUUGCUUGAUUUCAGAUUGCUUUUAAUUUAAGUUAUUCAUAGUAUCUCUUCUUUCGGAGUAACUAGUUGUGUUUAUCUGCUUCUUAGCAGGAAGGUGUUAGAAGAGGUCAUCGAGAGGAUGUGAGUGCUGGUUGACCCGAGAACUGGACCAGGGCAUUUGGAGGCUCUUCACCUUCUCCCCUGUCCUUGGAAUGUAUGUUCUGUCCACGGUUCCUACAGUAGGAGCUAUUUUCAAGGACACAGCCUUGAGAGAGCAGUGUGUUGUUGAGACCAUCUUGAUUGAAAAUGUGACCAAAACCGGUUAAGGCCUCUGUAUAAAAUUGUAAGAUUUGGCAGGUGGGUGUGGAGAUCUGCUUGUCUGUGGCCAGCCAAGAUAAGCCUUCUCUGGGAGUUCCCUGUCAUUUUAAACCUGUCACCUACUGAGCUAGAGUGGUCUGCCUCUUUCUUUGGUCUGUCCUAGCUCUCCGCAUAGAGGGACCAGUUUCAAAUUUCCCCUGGGAAGCUCCUGAGUUUGUGAACCAACAGAAGGAUGUUCUCGUGUUUUGUGCUAAAUUCCUUUCAGUACACUCUUUUAACUUCACCUAGUUUAGAAGGAAAAGAUGAAGUGGAUACUGUAAACAUAGUAAUCAAGUUAACUCAGACUUUGGUUUACAAUUACAAAUUUGGCUAAUGACUGUCUGAGGGUGUUCUUAGAUGGUGAAGAUACUGAGGUAUUCUUGACAUCCCUAAUUUUACUAAAAAAUUAUGCAGCUAGAGGCCCCCUGAUGGCCUAGUGGUUAAAAUUUGACACCGUCUGCUUAGGCAGCCGGUUCACUUCCUGGUUGCGGAAACACGCUGCCUUUCUGUCAGUUGCCAUGCUGUGGCAGCCGCUCACAUAGAAGAACUAAAAGGACUUACAAAUAGAAUAUACAACCAUGCACUGGAGAUUUGGGGAGAAAAAAAAAGGGAGGAAGAUUGGCAACAGAUUUUAACUCAGAGCAAAUCUUUCCCUGCCAAAAAAAAAAAAAAUCUCUCUAUAUAAUACAUGUAUAUAUAUUAUGCAGCUAAAAAUAAUGUAAUCAAUCAUUUGGCUAUCAUUACCUUUAGGAAAGACUGUGCCAAAACCACCUCAGCAGAAGGAUAGUCUGGCUCAUUGCUUCUAAAAUACUGUAUAUCAAAGAUAACAUUUGUCAAUCAAGCCUGGUGAGCUUUGCCCUUUUUGUAUUUUCUUUUCAGAAAUAACCAUUGUAUUUUGAUACCUAUUUUUUAGGAAGUAACUAUGAAAUAUUGUAGAUAAAUUUAUUAGUAAAGAGGGAGCAUAAGACUAUUUGCCAACCAAUCACAAAUAUAAGAAUUAAUGAAGUAGUGCCCCUCUGUCUUCAAAGGAGAGAUAAUUAGUAAGUAUGAAGUCAGCGGAAGAUAAAGGCAUUGCCCUUUGACCUCAUGUUCCCACUGCACUAUUUUAUUUUUAUACAUAAUUAAGGGAUGGAUGUAAUUUCCACAUCUAAAUAAUACCGAUGUGUGCUUUAAAGAUGUGUCAAUGGCCUGUAAAAGUCUCUCUUCACAGGCAUUAAUCUCUACAAAUUCUUCCUUGAUUAACAUGCUACGAUAAUAAUAAUGCAUAUGGUUAACAAUUAUUUAAUGCUUAUUAUGUACCAGAUACUAUGAUAAUUAUUUUACAUACCUAAUUCUCAUAACAUUUCACUGAGGUAGGUAUUUAUAAGCUGUGUUUCCUAAAUGAGAAAAAUGAAACUUGAAAAUCUUGGGUAACUUUCUCAAGAUCUCUGCAGCUUAGCAUGUGAUGGAGGUGUGUUUUGAGUCCAAGUUUACAUCUGAUUCUGAAGCUUUUGAUCUUGGCCACUAGUCAGAAAUUAGCAGAGAAAAGCUGAUGGGGGCCCAAUGUGUGAUUGUUUUUGGUAAAACCAUUCUUUUAUGUAUUUCUGUGACCAUUUGAUUAACACAAGCAACAUGGUGUAGUAAGCUAUUUAUCUCUGUGUUUUCCUUGAAAGCUUUUAGGUGCGACCCUUUCUGCUGAUGAGUGCCACUGGGGGUAAAUAAUAGCCUAUGAGAUUACUCAAGUGCUUUGUUGCCAUGGAGCUGAUAAAAUGCCCAGGCUAAGAGAAAUUGGGAUCUGUGAAAACUGAUGCUGCUACAUAAAUUAAACCAGUCACUCAUUAAUGCAACAAAGCAUUAGGAAACUAUUAUAUUCCAAGUAAGAUUUUAGGUUUAAAAACACAAAAAUGAUUGGCGUAAAUUCUCUGUCCUUUACAAGCUCAUAUUCUAGUGUGUAUGGCAAGAGAGGAAUUGGAAGGUAUGUAAAUUAAUAAUUGCAAUAAGAAGAUACAUUCCAUAUUAAAGGCAUGGAACAAGGUACUCAGGGCACACAUUGAAGGGAGUGUUUGGUUAGAGUUUCAAGGAAUUAUUCUAGGGAAAGUUAUAGUUGAGUGUGAGAUGGAGUCCUUCCGGUGACAUGGAGAGGUGCGAGGGGCUAGGCAUUACAGAAAGAGGAACUGAUGUGUGCAACGGCAUCUGGCAACUGCAAGUAGUUUGGUGUGGCUGGAUUGUAAGGAUCAAAAUACCCACUAAUGCACACCUUGGAUUGUUCUGCCUUAAACAUCACACCUGCUAUGCCCUGCCUCUCUCUUUCUUUCAUCCUCCUACUCCCUUCCCUGCUGUUUGUAGGAUUGUGGGAGCUGCCUAAUUGGAAAUCUGUAAGAAGGGUCAACAGGCUGGAAAUUCAGCUAAGAGUUGAUGGUGUGGUAUUGAUCUGAAAUCUGCAGGGCAGGCCAUCAGGUGGGUCUCUUUGUUGCAGUCUUGACUCCAAAUUGCUUCUUCCUGGGGAAAUCUGUCUUUGAUCUUGAAGCCCUCAACUCAUUGGUGGAGGCUCACCUGCAUUGUGCAGGGUAAUCUAUUUACUCAAAGUUUAUUGAUUGUAAAUGUUAAUCACAUCUAAAAAUAUCAUCACAGCAACAUCUAGAGGUGUUUGACCAAACAUUGGGCACCCUAGCCUAGCCAAGUUGACACUUAAAAUUAACCCUCACACCCGAAGAACCAGUUUCUUCUUCCUCGAUGUGUUGCUGCAUUUUUUCUUGCUGACAUUGAACCUGUUUUAUAUAGACAGAGAGCAUAGAUCACUUACAGCCCAGGUGAAAGGGAAUCUAAGAAAUAUAAUCUUUAGCUUUCCAGUCUUUAAAGAAUCAGGAAGGCAAACUAGAAGUGAGUUGGAAUGGGUGUUGAGUGAACUAAGCACCCUUUUGGCUACUCAGCAUCCAUUCAAACUCUUCCCACACCUAAACUUUCAAACAAGAGCAAGAACAACAUAAAAGCAAGAACAAUAUGCUUAAUAUAAUUCAACUAUCUUUGUUUUUUUCAUGAGCAAGAUUGGCCCUGAGUGAACAUGCAUGUCAGUUGUCCUCUAUUUUGUAUGUGGUACAGCUCCACAGCGUGGCCCAGUGUAGACUGUGUAGGUCUGCGCCUGGGAUCUGAACGCUUGAACCCUGGGCCAUCAAAGCGGAACAUGUGAACUUAACCAUUAUGCCACUGGACUGGCCCUGUAGCUAUCUUUUGCUCAAAUGGAGACUUAUUUUCUCCUCAAAAGGGAGGUCCAGGGGCUGGCCUGGUGGUGUAGUGGUUGAAUUCAUGCACUACAGAUUAAAUUAUGUCAUUACCAGCAAAGAAUUGAGCCUAUAUAAAUUAGCAGGAGAAAGACAAAUAGAAAAAACGGAAGUUCUCUCUCCCUCUCUCUCUCUAGCUCACUAUCAUUCUCUCUCUCUUUAGGAAGAAAUUACUUACCCAUAGUCCUCAUUCUGCAACUUUUCAUGAGGCUUUAGUUAAUAUUUCUAACUAGUCAUAAGUCUGUUAGUCUAUAUAUACUUUUGGAAUCAAAUAAGUUGUGAUAUACAACAUUCCUGUUAUUAUUUAUCCCAAAGCAUUUUUAAAUUUCUGUGAACAUUUUUUUUGAGCCAUGAUGUGUUUAGAAGUGAUUUUUAAAAAUUCUCCAAGUAUAUGUGGAUUUUAAUUUACCUUUUUAAUACUGAUUAAUUGCAUUGUGGUUAGAAAACAUGGUUGGCAGCAUAUUUUAAAAUUUUUUACAUGUUAAUUUUUUUACAUUAUAUUAUACAUUGUAUCUAUGUAACCUGUUGAUAACUGAGAGAAACAUGUUGAAAAGUCUCACUAUGACCAUGGAUUUGUCAAAUUUCCAUAUAGCUCACCCAACUUUUGAUUUACAUGUUUUGAAGUUACUUUCUUUUGAAUUGUUAUAUCUUCUUAGUGAAUUUAAAAUUUUAUCAUUAUGUAGUGACUCUCUGUAUUUCUUAGUGGUUUUCCAAUGUUUUGAUUUCUAACACCCUUCCUACAUUCUUGUAUACAGGGAAGAAUGCUGCUUUCUUGGGGGGAAUCAAUUCCACACGAUUUCAGUGGGACAGACUAUACGUUCACCCUGUCUCACCGUUUUCAAGGCCAACUUGUGUUUUCUUCCUAGAUUCUUAAAAAAUUUCUCUGCACUCUUAAAUAUUCAGAUUUGCCUUAGUGUGUUUAUUGCUGUUUGCAACGCAUUUAUUUCUCUGUAGGUAUUAUUUUGGUCUUUAAUUUGUUUUCUCAGUUCUACUGAGUCUCACUGAUUCUUUUGUUUCUUGAUCUCAUCCUUGAAGUCUUCUUUCAUCAAAUUAGUGUUUUUGUUUGUUUUUUUAAAAAUUCUUCUAUUGUAUAAGACACUUGUAGGAAAAGUUCUAUUUUCUUUCCUAAGAUUGCUUCCACAUGAGGCUCUACAUUCAUCUUUUAAAUAAUAUGUUUCUUUAUUCCUACUUUUUCUUUUGUGUGUGCUGACAUUUUUGGAAUUGAGGCUUUGCCAUUUCUUUUUUUUUUUCAUAUUCAUUUACAACACAAAGAGCCUUAUUAAGAUCUUCCUUCAGCUUUGAUAUGAAGUGGGUGUCUGUCCAUUUUUCUGUAAUUGUGCCGGUUUGGGGCUCAUAUCCAUCUUCUCUGUCAGAAAGCUUCAAGCUUCCCUAUCUUUUCCCGAUGCAGAAUGCAGCCAUGAACCUUAGCUGCUACAGAGAAAGUCGGGGCCAGGCCUAUAUUUCUCUUCCUCAUCAUUUCUCGUUAAAAUCUGAUUCACUCCCCUACAGUUCACAGAAGGGAAAAUGUUAACUGACAUUUAUAUGUCUUGUUCCUGGACUUACUGCAGGGAGAGAUGGAGCAGGGAGACUCCCUCCUUGGGGGUCUUUGUUUACCCCUAUCCCGUUCCUCGUAAUCCCCUGCUCACCAGCCAGAAUUUAACUUCCUGAGAAGAUUUUCUCAUACCUACGUUUGCUUUGUUAAUUUACUUUUAUCUUGAGCUUUCCCCUACUUAAUAAAGUCAACGUGACAGCCCCUGAUAGAUUUUUCUCUCUUAUUAGGGAAGUACUUGAUAAAAUCACUUAUGUUGAACAUGAAUAUGAGAAAAAUUCUUGAGGGUUUCCUUCGUCAUUUGUCUGGGUUUCUCAUAUACCCUUUCAUCUGCUUUUCACCCCAAAUUAGUUGGAGGUGUGGUUUAAAUGAGUUUUUAUUGAGUGUGAUCUAUUUUUUUUAAUGUUUUAAUUUUUUAUUUAAUUUUAUUUUUUUGAGGAAGAUUGGCCCUGAGCUAACAUCCGUGCCCAUCUUCUUGUACUUUAUAGGUGGGACGCCUACCACAGCAUGGCGUGCCAAGUGGUGCCAUGUCUGCACCCGGAUCUGAACCAAUGAACCCCAGGCCACCAAAGCGGAAUAUGCACACUCAACCACCGUGCCACCAGGCCCACCCCACCCUGACCUCCCAUCUUAGAAAUUCGGGGAUCGAAGUAAACCCAUUUUAUUAAUCCCCUCCUAGGGGAGAAGCAUAGACCAUCUGACUCCUCCGUUUAUAAAUAGCUGUGCACACAGGAAGACGUAGCGGGCUGGAACCUCCACUAGCCGUUACAGUUAAGGGUUUAAAGAAACUGCGGUUCUUCCUUUUGAUCAUUGCCACCUAUCUUUAAAGAAAAUGACAUUAUUUUAACAUGUUAACUAAUUGAGAAAAAUGUGUUCCCCAAGCAUUGCUUACAAAAUAUGUUGAUGAUUUAAAAAUGUAAGUAAAUAUCAACAAAGCAGCAGAAUACACAGCAUGAAAUAAUCAAAAUUAAAAUACAUUAAAACUUCUGCUUUCUGCAACAAGGGCCAAUGAUAUUAAUAACAAUGUUGCGAAAAAAAAGUCUGGAAUAUGGUGGAAAAGAAAAUAAACCUAAGGAGGGUAAGACUGAAAUAAAAUAACCCCAGAGACCAUUACAUGGUUAAGCAAUUAAGUGAUUUCUCAUUGCUGGGAGAUAAGUAAUUUUAUUUUAAUUUUUUAUUAACUGUAAUCCAUUUUCAAAGUGAUUUGGAUUUAGGUCAACAUAAAAUACAGUAUACUUUUCAGUGUUUCUUAAAUGCAUGUUAGAAUAACUUACUUCUUAAAUAAACUAAUUAAUGCAUAAUAAUAUUUCCCCUCUUGCAUUCUUAUGAACUUUUCCUCUUAUUAUUCGUCACGGAACUGUUUUGCCUCUCUGUCCCAUACCCUUUCUGAAUGUUUGUGCUAAAGGAGUACAUUUAAUAUAUUUGAUAUUGUUACUCUGAGAAAUUAGAGUUAAAGUAAACACAUCAUUGGUCGUUGUAAUUCAUCGAAUGUUACAGACAGCAGGAGUUAGAGUAUGAGUAGUCGCCCAAGCGUGGUCUACUAAAGAGCUGAGGGAGCCAGGGCCCCUGUGGGCUGGAGUUUGGGGAAAGGAAAAAUGGAUCUUGAUCUUUCUGCUUCUAAAGUCUUUCGUCAAAGUCUUUCAGUUAUUGAUUCUUAAUCAUGUGCCAGGCCUAACUAGAAUGGAACACUUUGCAGCACUUUAAAAUCUAAAUGUGAUUAUAUGUAAAUUGAUGAACCACAUUUUCUUUGGUCCUGGUUGGCUUUUACUGUCAUAUUCUGUAAGAUGUCACGUAGCUAUUGUCGGAUAUUUAAAAAGUGGGAAGACUUCUCUUGAAAUUCAUUUCCUAGUAAUAAAAAUUACUUCUUGAAAAUCAAAUUGUUUCAAAAUUAUGUUCACACCUUAAAUUGAUCCUAUUUAAUGUUUGGAGGUGAGGUGAAAAUCUUAUUUUUUAUUUGCAUAUGUUGAUGUAUGCUACUG